rnacentral:lncRNA from 1 species
GUCUUGCGAGAUAGGUAGUCAGAUGACUCAUUAAUUAAAAAAAAUGGCUUGUGAUCGUUUUAAAAAGUCAGACCAGUCUGUUAGUCAUUGCAUACACAAAUGAUUUUUUAGUUUCCUGUGACUCAACCACAUGGCAGUCAAUUCAGAGAGAGAAAAUCUUUGACAAUAUGCCUCUUAUUAGGUUCCCCAAGACCUCUAAUAUUCCAACUUAUCAAGGCCAUAUGAUUGGGAUCAACUCAUUCAAAGCGAGAGUAUACACCACAAACCAACGGGUAGAGCACAGCCACAAAGAAGAGAGACAAAAAACAAUGGUCAUAUGGUCAACAUGAAAGGACUAGCCGAGGGAUAACCGAGCAUAUCUUAACCCACAUGGCACACAAGUACAGCAGAAACACAGAUCGUUUUGUAAAGAAA